rnacentral:rRNA from 1 species
GGUCAAGUGAAGAAGCGCAUACGGUGGAUGCCUUGGCAGUCAGAGGCGAUGAAAGACGUGGUAGCCUGCGAAAAGCUUCGGGGAGUCGGCAAACAGACUGUGAUCCGGAGAUGUCUGAAUGGGGGAACCCAGCCAUCACAAGAUGGUUAUCUUACACUGAAUACAUAGGUGUAAGAGGCGAACCAGGGGAACUGAAACAUCUAAGUACCCUGAGGAAAAGAAAUCAACCGAGAUUCCCUUAGUAGUGGCGAGCGAACGGGGACCAGCCCUUAAGUUGUAUUGAGAUUAGCGGAACGCUCUGGAAAGUGCGGCCAUAGUGGGUGAUAGCCCUGUACGCGAAAAUCCCUUUGCAAUGAAAUCGAGUAGGACGGGGCACGAGAAACCUUGUCUGAAUAUGGGGGGACCAUCCUCCAAGGCUAAAUACUACUGACUGACCGAUAGUGAACCAGUACCGUGAGGGAAAGGCGAAAAGAACCGCGGAGAGCGGAGUGAAAUAGAUCCUGAAACCGUAUGCGUACAAGCAGUGGGAGCCCACUUUGUUGGGUGACUGCGUACCUUUUGUAUAAUGGGUCAGCGACUUAUUUUCAGUGGCGAGCUUAACCGAAUAGGGGAGGCGUAGCGAAAGCGAGUCUUAAUAGGGCGUCUAGUCGCUGGGAAUAGACCCGAAACCGGGCGAUCUAUCCAUGGGCAGGUUGAAGGUUGGGUAACACUAACUGGAGGACCGAACCGACUACCGUUGAAAAGUUAGCGGAUGACCUGUGGAUCGGAGUGAAAGGCUAAUCAAGCUCGGAGAUAGCUGGUUCUCCUCGAAAGCUAUUUAGGUAGCGCCUCAUGUAUCACUGUAGGGGGUAGAGCACUGUUUCGGCUAGGGGGUCAUCCCGACUUACCAAACCGAUGCAAACUCCGAAUACCUACAAGUGCCGAGCAUGGGAGACACACGGCGGGUGCUAACGUCCGUCGUGAAAAGGGAAACAACCCAGACCGUCAGCUAAGGUCCCAAAGUCAUGGUUAAGUGGGAAACGAUGUGGGAAGGCUUAGACAGCUAGGAGGUUGGCUUAGAAGCAGCCACCCUUUAAAGAAAGCGUAAUAGCUCACUAGUCGAGUCGGCCUGCGCGGAAGAUGUAACGGGGCUCAAACCAUGCACCGAAGCUACGGGUAUCACCUUUGGUGAUGCGGUAGAGGAGCGUUCUGUAAGCCUGUGAAGGUGAGUUGAGAAGCUUGCUGGAGGUAUCAGAAGUGCGAAUGCUGACAUGAGUAACGACAAUGGGUGUGAAAAACACCCACGCCGAAAGACCAAGGUUUCCUGCGCAACGUUAAUCGACGCAGGGUUAGUCGGUCCCUAAGGCGAGGCUGAAAAGCGUAGUCGAUGGAAAACAGGUUAAUAUUCCUGUACUUCUGGUUAUUGCGAUGGAGGGACGGAGAAGGCUAGGCCAGCCUGGCGUUGGUAGUCCAGGUUUAAGGUGGUAGGCUGAGAUCUUAGGUAAAUCCGGGAUCUUAAGGCCGAGAGCUGAUGACGAGUGUUCUUUUAGAACAUGAAGUGGUUGAUGCCAUGCUUCCAAGAAAAGCUUCUAAGCUUCAGGUAACCAGGAACCGUACCCCAAACCGACACAGGUGGUUGGGUAGAGAAUACCAAGGCGCUUGAGAGAACUCGGGUGAAGGAACUAGGCAAAAUGGCACCGUAACUUCGGGAGAAGGUGCGCCGGUGAGGGUGAAGCAUUUACUGCGUAAGCCCACGCCGGUCGAAGAUACCAGGCCGCUGCGACUGUUUAUUAAAAACACAGCACUCUGCAAACACGAAAGUGGACGUAUAGGGUGUGACGCCUGCCCGGUGCCGGAAGGUUAAUUGAUGGGGUUAGCGCAAGCGAAGCUCUUGAUCGAAGCCCCGGUAAACGGCGGCCGUAACUAUAACGGUCCUUAGGUAGCGAAAUUCCUUGUCGGGUAAGUUCCGACCUGCACGAAUGGCGUAACGAUGGCGGCGCUGUCUCCACCCGAGACUCAGUGAAAUUGAAAUCGCUGUGAAGAUGCAGUGUAUCCGCGGCUAGACGGAAAGACCCCGUGAACCUUUACUAUAGCUUUGCACUGGACUUUGAAUUUGCUUGUGUAGGAUAGGUGGGAGGCUUUGAAGCGUGGACGCCAGUCUGCGUGGAGCCAACCUUGAAAUACCACCCUGGCAACUUUGAGGUUCUAACUCAGGUCCGUUAUCCGGAUCGAGGACAGUGUAUGGUGGGUAGUUUGACUGGGGCGGUCUCCUCCUAAAGAGUAACGGAGGAGUACGAAGGUGCGCUCAGACCGGUCGGAAAUCGGUCGUAGAGUAUAAAGGCAAAAGCGCGCUUGACUGCGAGACAGACACGUCGAGCAGGUACGAAAGUAGGUCUUAGUGAUCCGGUGGUUCUGUAUGGAAGGGCCAUCGCUCAACGGAUAAAAGGUACUCCGGGGAUAACAGGCUGAUACCGCCCAAGAGUUCAUAUCGACGGCGGUGUUUGGCACCUCGAUGUCGGCUCAUCACAUCCUGGGGCUGAAGCCGGUCCCAAGGGUAUGGCUGUUCGCCAUUUAAAGUGGUACGCGAGCUGGGUUUAGAACGUCGUGAGACAGUUCGGUCCCUAUCUGCCGUGGACGUUUGAGAUUUGAGAGGGGCUGCUCCUAGUACGAGAGGACCGGAGUGGACGAACCUCUGGUGUUCCGGUUGUCACGCCAGUGGCAUUGCCGGGUAGCUAUGUUCGGAAAAGAUAACCGCUGAAAGCAUCUAAGCGGGAAACUUGCCUCAAGAUGAGAUCUCACUGGAACCUAGAGUUCCCUGAAGGGCCGUCGAAGACUACGACGUUGAUAGGUUGGGUGUGUAAGCGCUGUGAGGCGUUGAGCUAACCAAUACUAAUUGCCCGUGAGGCUUGACCAU